GGUCCCGUAGUGUAGCGGUUAUCACGUCGCCCUGUCACGGCGAAGAUCGCGGGUUCGAUUGCCGUCGGGACCG
rnacentral:tRNA from 1 species